GCCGCUUUCCAGAGCGCUCUCGCCCCCGUUCCUGCGAGUCCUCACCGAGGUCCUGCAGGCCGCUCGCUGUCCUCGCCAGCGUGAGUUCCACUGGAGCGAAACUGAGGCUGAGCUGGGUCGCAGGCAGCACAGCUAGUGAGAGGCGGAAUCACAGUCUCCAGCCCCGUGAGCAAGUCGAGAGAGACCAGCGGGGGCGAGGUCUUGGAGUACACACUGGGCAGCAAUCAGUGCCUCUCUUAAUUCCCGAAUUACAACCUGAAAGGAGAGGAAAUGCAAUAGAACCCAGGUGUUGAAUCUUGAGAUGAUGCCCUUUCUCCUGGCUGCCUGAGGAGUCUUCCUUCGCUGGCCUCCUGGAGUGACCU
ensembl:lncRNA